GACCAUAGGUCAGUGGUAGAACAUCUGCUUUGAAUGCAGACGGUCCCGGGUCUGACCCCUAGUGGUAGGACU